UACGGAGGGUGCAAGCGUUAAUCGGAAUUACUGGGCGUAAAGGGCUCGUAGGCGGCUCGGAAAGUCGGGCGUGAAAUGCCGGGGCUCAACCCCGGGACUGCGUCCGAUACUUCCGAGCUGGAGGUAGGUAGGGGAGAUCGGAAUUCCUGGUGUAGCGGUGAAAUGCGCAGAUAUCAGGAGGAACACCGGUGGCGAAGGCGGAUCUCUGGGCUGGUACUGACGCUGAGGAGCGAAAGCGUGGGUAGCGAACAGG
rnacentral:rRNA from 1 species